UGGCGGAAGUGCAUGGGAAUCGAACCCACCCGAGACGGUUCUAGCGCCUCACACCGGAUUUGAAGUCCGGGAGCCCCACCAGUGAGCUGUGCACUUCC
rnacentral:tRNA from 1 species